rnacentral:rRNA from 1 species
GACGAACGCUGGCGGCGUGCUUAACACAUGCAAGUCGAACGGAAAGGCCCUGCUUUUGUGGGGUGCUCGAGUGGCGAACGGGUGAGUAACACGUGAGUAACCUGCCCUUGACUUUGGGAUAACUUCAGGAAACUGGGGCUAAUACCGGAUAGGAGCUCCUGCUGCAUGGUGGUGGUUGGAAAGUUUCGGCGGUUGGGGAUGGACUCGCGGCUUAUCAGCUUGUUGGUCGGGUAGUGGCUUACCAAGGCUGUGACGGGUAGCCGGCCUGAGAGGUGUACCGGCCACAUGGGGACUGAGGGACGGACCAGACGCCAACGGGAGGCAGCAGGGGGGAACAUGGCACAAUGGGCGGAAGCGUGAGGCAGCGACGCUGCGUGCGGGAUGACGGCCUUCGGGUGGUAAACCGAUUUCGAAUGUGAUGAAGCGUGAGUGACGGUAAUGAGUAAAGAAGCACCGGCUAACUACGUG